rnacentral:misc_RNA from 1 species
CAACCCUCAAGCCUGGCUUGGUAUUGGGCUUCGCCACUCACCUGGCGGGCCUUAAAAUCAGUGGCGGUGCCGUCGAGGCCCUGAGCGCAGUAAAUAUCCUCGCUAUAGGGACCCGGCGGACGCUGGCCAUCAACCCCCAACUUUCUAA